rnacentral:lncRNA from 1 species
UUUAAAUAAAUAAAAACCUAAAAAAAUAAAAAAUAAUUUUUUUAAUUUUUUUUCGAAUUAUACUAUUUCGAAAUUAAAACCCUAAACCCUAAAAAUCAACACUAAACCCUAAACCAUCAAUCCUAAACCCUAUUUUUUUUUGAAAUACAAACCCUAAACCCUAAACCAUCAAUCAUAAACCUUAUUUUUUUUAAAUACGAACCCUAAACCCUGAAACAUCAACACUAAACCCUAAACCUCGAAACCUCAACUCUAAACCCUAAGCCCUAAACUUUCAACUCUAAACCCUAAAGCAUCAACUCUAAACCCUAAACCCUAAACUUAACUCCAAACCCUAAACCAUCAACACUAAACCCUAAACUAUCAAUAGUAAACCCUAAACCCUAAAAAGUAAACUCUAAACCCUAAACCCUAAACCCUAAAACAUCAAUUCUAAUCCCUAAACCCUAAACCUUCAACUCUAAACCCUAAACUCUAAACCCUAAACUCUAAACCCUAAACUCUAAACCCUAAAUCCUAAACCCUAAACCCUAAAACCCU